rnacentral:tRNA from 1 species
GCCGGUGUAGCUCAAGGGCAGAGCGGCGCAUUCGUAAUGCGUAGGUUGUGGGUUCGAUUCCCUCCACCGGCUCCA